GCUAGGGUGGUCUAGUGGUAGGAUUUCCGAGAACAGCAGGGUCUGAUGGCAUCCACGAACAUGGGAAUGUCCAUCCACUUGUUCGACCGGAGACGCCAGUUCAAAUCUGGCCCCUAGCA